UGUCUUGAGCUCAUUCGGUAGAGCACGAGACUCUUCAUCUCAAGGUUGUGGGUUCAAGCCUCAUGCUGGGUAA